rnacentral:misc_RNA from 1 species
CUCCCAGGUGGCAAUGGCGGCAAUGUUCGUUUGGCGUGUCUCAGAAACUUGUGUCCGUUGGUUCAUCGUUUCGAACUUACGCCACGCUUACGUUACCCCGCUGUUCAGAACAGCCGGCUUUGAAGGGGACUGCUGUGCAUCGAAUGCAAUGAAGAAAGAUGCUGACAGGAUCGAGUGGCCUGAAGAGGCCAGCAGCUGCAUCAAGCCAUGACAGCCCCGUUGGAGGUUCCUCUCCUGUAAAUUUGUCACUGGCAGGGACAAGGGACGUCCAAAUUAUUGCAUCUGGUCAGCUCGACGCAAUCGACAUGGUUGGACCAGCCAUACAAAGCAUUGCGUCAGACACCAGUGUGGCUUCCAGCUGCACCUGUUUCGUUCCUCGUGCAUCUGUUGGUACAGACAGAUCCUGCAGACAUAGGCACACAAGAAGGCACUACAGCAGUGCCCUGCCCCAGCACUCCAGGUUCAAUUGCCGUCUCCAGUUUGAAGGACAACCCCCCAACUGCAGGCCCAGGACAUCCGUCCUCACAGUUCUGCU